UGCGUAGGCGGCUGAUGAAGUCGGAUGUGAAAUCCCUGAGCUUAACUUAGGAAUUGCAUUCGAUACUGGUCAGCUAGAGUAUGGGAGAGGAUGGUAGAAUUCCAGGUGUAGCGGUGAAAUGCGUAGAGAUCUGGAGGAAUACCGAUGGCGAAGGCAGCCAUCUGGCCUAAUACUGACGCUGAGGUACGAAAGCAUGGGAGCAAACA
rnacentral:rRNA from 1 species